rnacentral:rRNA from 1 species
GUAGUCCACGCUGUAAACGUUGGGAACUAGGUGUGGGCGACAUUCCACGUUGUCUGCGCCGCAGCUAACGCAUUAAGUUCCCCGCCUGGGGAGUACGGCCGCAAGGCUAAAACUCAAAGGAAUUGACGGGGGCCCGCACAAGCGGCGGAGCAUGUGGCUUAAUUCGAUGCAACGCGAAGAACCUUACCAAGGCUUGACAUGCGCAGGAAGCUGCCAGAGAUGGUAGUGCCUUCGGGUCUGCGUGCAGGUGGUGCAUGGUUGUCGUCAGCUCGUGUCGUGAGAUGUUGGGUUAAGUCCCGCAACGAGCGCAACCCUCGUUCUGUGUUGCCAGCGCGUUAUGGCGGGGACUCACAGGAGACUGCCGGGGUCAACUCGGA